AGAGAGGUCAAAAGUUUAAUGGUACCAUUUUACUUCAAUAUCAGGCUAAUUAUAUUCAGUGAGAGAAAAAUAGUGAAAUAACAAAGUACAGGAUUUUCUUGUGCCAUAACACACUUCACAAGCUUCAAGUGAAGGACUAGAAAAGCAGGUGAACACUGCCCUCCUGUGACGCUCUGGAGAACGAUACUAUUUUUUAGUGCAGCUGGUCAAACUUGGCAUUUGCUUCACCAGGGCAUGUGAAAUGCAAAGCAAAAUGCACAAAAAGUUUUAUGCACAAAAUGAAUAAAUACUUUCAUUCACCACUAUUUGUUUUGAAAUACAAACAGAAAUGUAUUAGUCUGAGACAUUUUGCAUAUUUUCAGACAUUUUAACACAAUAUCAAUCUCUCUGCCAUAUGUCUACGUACUCUGUAGCUACUUUUAGAGCAGACACUUUGCUUGACAGAUUCAUUGUUUCACCAGAGUAGAUGAGUGCGCUUUCACAGUUGUGUGAGAAGAGCUAAAAAUAAGCUUGAAGGUCAUAGAUUAGAGAAAGCUUGCAGUGCGAGUUGAUUGUCAGCCUGCUGGAAGAGCAUUAAACAAACACAACAAACACAAAGGUGACCCUUGCACAGCAAAAAUAUAAUCUGAUAAAGAUCAACUGACUAAGCAUUUAGUGUUGUGCCCUUAUUGCAAAACACAAAAAUUAGGCAGCACAGCAUAAUAUUCAAAACAAGAUGAGCAACACACAUCGAUUUAAUAUGAAAAGACAAACAACUGUAUUUUAUGUGGCAGGAAAUGUUUCUGUAAAUGUGGCAGUAAUGGGGUAAUGCUUCAACAAGGUCUGUUGGUGAUGCAUUUGGCACUACAUGAUGACA